rnacentral:piRNA from 1 species
UGUCUUCUCAAGGAGAACAAGGGAACAAGC